rnacentral:rRNA from 1 species
AUGGGGCUGCUGUCGCGGCCGGAGGAGGUGCCGGCGCUGCUCAGGCUCAAGCUGGCAGCGGGGCGGAUCAGGCGCCAGAUCCCGCCCCAAGAGCACUGGGCCUUCGCCUACCACAUGCUCCAGCGCGUCUCCCGCAGCUUCGCGCUCGUCGUCCAGCAGCUCGGAACAGACCUCCGCAAUGCCGUCUGCAUCUUCUACCUCGUGCUCCGGGCCCUGGACAUCGUCGAGGACGACACCGCCAUCCCUAACAAGGUCAAGCUGCCCAUCCUUCGGGACUUCUACCGCCACAUCUACAACCUGGACUGGCUCUUUUCAUGUGGAGAAAACUACUACAGAGUGCUCAUGGAUAAUUUUAGGCAGGUCUCCAUGGCUUUUUUGGAGCUAGGCGAAAGAGGUCUCGUGAAGGAGCACAAUGACUCCUUCAACUACUUCAUCACUAAAGGAAUGGAGAACAUCGUCAAGGCAAAAGCUGCAAUGAUGGAGAUCACACGCUCCUUCGACCAGCCACGGCCAGCCUCCGUCUUCGGCCCCUUCAGCCUUGCCCCCGACCUUGCCCACUGCUCCUUCGACCACACGCUCCGCUGCGAGGCCUUCGAGUACAAGAGGCUGUUGCUUGACUAUAACAGCGAACACGACCAACAAGUUCCGCCAGCGCGAGGAUGGGACACAAUGCCGAGGAAGCGCAAAGGAGAUGGUGAUGGAAUUGAUGAGGUUCCUUCGAAAAAGCCAAAGCGCCCUCCUCCUCGGAAUAGAGCCUCACCUAGUUCGCUUCUUGUUGCAUGCAAAGACAUGAAUGAUGAGAGGAAGGUAGCCAUUUAUGAGAUGGACUUCACAAGUCUUCGAAAUAUCAAGUGCGACCAUCUCUUCAACGGUCUCAGUGUGUGGCUUGCCGACAUGUACAAUCCUCAUUCUCGUGAGGUGUCGUACCAGGGCAGGGUAGGCUUCCGGUUAAUGAGGAAUAUGUGCAUCGUGUUAUGGUCGUGCCACGUGGAGGGAAUGAUGUUCCUUACAACCUUCCUACCGAAGCUGAUAUUGAGUUAG